GAAAGGCCACUGAUUGCUUUCCUUGGGAAAUCUAUGGAGAAGCUGCAGAAUAGUGUAUUGCAAUGAAUUAUCCUAAUAAGAAAACUCAAUGCAUAGUGAGUCUCUUUAAGUUACAUCCACAUCUUGAACUUUGAAAUCCUCCUGCCUCAGUCUCCAGAGUAGGACAUACCUAUCCAGCUAUUUAGGAGUCUGGACAGGAGGAUUGCAGUUUUGAGGCCAUCCUCAGCAAUUUAGCAAGACCCUGUCUCAAAACAAAAUACAAAAAUGUCUGGGGAUGUGGCUCAGCACCCCUGGGUUCAUUCCCCAUUACUGCAAAAUAAAUAAAAUUCCUUUAUUCUCUGGGCAUGAUGGCAUAUGCCUGUAGUACUAGCUAGCUACUUUGAAAUAAAUAAAAUUCCUUUAUUCUCUGGGCAUGAUGGGAUGUGCCUGUAGUACUAGCUACUUUGAGCCUAGGAGUUGGAGGCUAGCCUAGGCAACAUAGAGCAACCCUACCUCAAAAACAAACAAGGAAAAAAAAAAUUAAAAUCCCUUUAUUCGGUUGAAGUUUUAAAAUUCAAGGUCUUUUGAGCACUGAUGUGUAAGAUGGGUGCUAUGGCUAAAUGAUAUAAGAGUUUCCCUCUAUUUCAUGUAAUACCAGUCAUACACAGUUUUCCAGCCAUAGAAACAUGGCACUUGCAGCAUCGUUUACAUUUCCCAAGCAUGACUUCUUAUGACCCUGGUAUAGGUGAAUUUCCAGUUUGAAGAUAGAUACCAGUGAAAUUUCUGUUCUUGUCUGGGAAGUUUGUUCUUCUGUACUUAGGCUUAUUCCUGGAUACUUUAAAUUCUGAAGAAUGGAGAAUUUUUUUCACUUAGGAGUAAUAUAAUGGUCUAAACCUUUAUUAAUAUAUCUGUGGCCCAACAAAGUCAGAACAUAGUGAUAUGCUUGAAAGGGAAAAACUGUCUUUUUCCCUGUACUUAUAUUGAACUGUUAAAAGAGACCUGACCCAUGAACUAUAAGCAUUAUUUUACACUUUCUCUUCACAUUUGUAGAAUUGAGUAAUAAACCUCAUAAAAAUUUUAUGCAUGAGCCAGGCAUGUUGUAAUAUAUGGAUUGUGUAGUGGGUCAUAUUUGGUAGCACUUAAUUCCUAGAAAUCAUUUAUUAUAAACAACCCUGAGGAUAAUUCAGUGAUUUGAAAAUUUAGUGCUUUCAGUGUGUCUGAAAUUAGGGCAAGUUUAGGAAAUAAACUUGCACAAAACCUGCAAAAGGGGCCCAAGGGGCAUUUACACGUCUAGCAGAGUAAGUCUGUCAGAAGUAACCUUAUGAUUGCAUCACAGAUACUCACCUCUUGUCUUAUUUUUGUAGAGCUGAAAGCUUUCUCAUCACUCGGUUUAGCUUUAAACUGAUAUAGUGUAAUUCCUUCUCCAGCUCCACAGCAUAUAAAAAGAGUCUAAAAGAUAAUUAGAAGUUAGUGGAGAAUGAGUCAGUAAUACACCUUGUGUUUAAAGACCACAGGUUAUUAGAGUAAAUUGCUCUGACAAGGAAGAUAGUAUGGUGAGCUAAACAUGCCUUAUGUAGCUAAUUGUGGCUCUGACAUUCUAAACCUGCAUGGAAAACAGUAUCUGUGGCAGUUUCUAUCAUUUAGAGAUGUAGGGAUAAAAACAAUUUUAAGUAAAUAGAGUCACAUGCUUUGAUUUUAAAACUGGGUAGAAAAAUUUAAAAAAAAUAUAAGUUCUAGCUUCAGAAAAAUAAUGUGACAUAUGUCCUGAAUCCCUAUGUCAUGAUGCCUGAUAGUAUCCUGGUUAAAACAAAUGCUUACUCUUGAAAUUCUUGUUGAGUGACAGGCUGGUAGUCAUCUUCAAUUUCUGUAGAAUAAUACUUCUUCUCAAGCCGCUCUUUCCAUUUUUUCAUUUUCUCUGCUCUUUGAAUCUCCUGUCAAUUUAGAGGACAAGUAUAAGCCUGAUUGACUUUUUGCCCUGCAAAGGCACUUAAGAGGACUUGGUAUAAGAACUAUUUAGCAUUUUUAGGGAAGUUUAGGGGUUUUUGGUUUUGUUUACAAAUUUUCCUCAUUACAUUGCCUUUCCCUUUUGCCAUCUUCAUCUGAGUUGCUUCCUGUUUUAUCCUUGGUGUCAAACCUGAGAUGUUCAUUCUGUAUGUUUGUUCUUUAUUCCAGUUUUUUGCAGUGCUAGGGAUUGAACCCAGGCCCUUGUGCAUGGUAGGCAAGUGCUCUACCACUGAGCUACAUGGCCAGCCCAUAUACCUCUAAGUAAUUACUGUGUUACUCAAUCUGCAUACACUCUAUCCAUGUAUUCCCAAACAAGUACCUCAUGCCAGAAAAUUUGUGCUGCUGGAACAAAAGUAUUUUCAUCUGUAUAAAGGAUAGUUCCAUCCUAGUAAAUGAUGGCUUGAAAUAGUUAUUUUAUGGAAUUGCAAAUGUACAUGUUAAAUAGCCAGAAGAGUAGAUUGGGCUAUAAAGCUAAUGUCUAGGAACUCAGAAUUUUACCCUCUUAAACUCUGCUCUCUGUUGCUUGGGUGUUAGGCUUUGCACCCCUCAUUCUCCAAACUUUUGCUAGCUGGAUUUCUGUUAAGAUUCUGCCAGUAUUUAGGGAAUGUAGAGGAGAAGGGUCUUUCUCGGAUUUUUUGUUUCUAGUAGUACUUCUUAUGCAAUUUCCAGCAGCAAUGUUAGCUCAAGGCUGCAGCAUGUAGCAUCUUUUGGCAUACCCAGAAUUCGCCUCAUCACAUUCCUUCAGAAGUAAUCAGCAAUAGCAUCUUUAAAAAGAAUGUUCACAUUUUCCCUUAUCUUGAUUUUGAACAUGCACAUUAAUUUCUGGGCAUUAUUUACUCUUGUUACCAUUGUAAUUUUUAAUAAACUGAUGUCUGCAUACAUGACAUGAUAGUAUUUAUAUAAAUUAUUUCUCCAACUAUUUUAUUGAAUGUUCUUACUUUUCAUUUUAAUUUUCAGAUCAUCAUAUAUCUAGAAAUCAUAUCUCAAAUAGAGGCAGUUUUACCUCUUUUAGAUUCUUAAAUCUCUAAUGCAUUUCUCUUACCUAAUUGUUUUGAUUGACCCCUUUCAAUACAUCAAUAUCUUGUCCUCAACAUUUGGGUACUCAGUUGUACUUGUUUCUGCUAGGGUAUUAUUUCUUCUCGGCUUCUCAUUGGACAGAGAUAGUAGCAGGGAGAUAUCUAUUCCUUAAUGUGUUUGCCUCACAUGCACAAGGCCUAUUAAGGAAUUCCAGCAACUUAGGAACCUGAGGCAGGAGGAUCUCAAAUUUAAGGCCAGCCUGGGUAACUUAGACCCUGUCUUAAAAAAUAAAAUGAGGGGCUGGGGAUGUAGCUCAGUAGUAAAGUGUCCCUCUGGUUCAAUCCCCAGUACUUUCAUUUUGUUAAUUUCUCUUUAAGAUUGAGGUUGAAACUUAUUAAAUACCCAGCAAAUAUGGAAAAUGAUCAUGUAAUUUUCCUUUUAAUAUAAUUAUGUUGAUUACCCAAUUUUGAACCAUUCUUUCAUAGAAUAAGCCUUACAUGAAUUAUGAUAUUUGUGUGCUUUUUUUGUUUUGUUUUUGGUUCACUGGGGAUUGAACUCAGGGCCUUGUGCAUUUUAAGCAAAUGUUCUACCCUUGAGCUAUAUUGUGUGCUAUUAGAUUCUAUUUGCUUAUAUUUUACUUAAGACUUUUGCUUCAAGAAUUGUGAGAUUAGCUUUUUUGUCUUUUUGGUACAAUAUAUAAUUACUGUAAAAGAAUAAUGUAGAACUUUCUCCUUUUGCUCUGAGUGGCUUAAAUAGCUCAAAAUUGUUUCUUAAGUAGGGUGCAGUGGCGGGCACAUGCCUGUAAUCCCAGUGGCUGAGGCGGCUGAGUCAGGAGGAUCAAGGAUUUGAAGCCAGCCUCAGCAACUCAGCGAGGCCCUAAGCAACUCAGCAAGACCCUAUCUCUACAUAAAAUACAAAAUAGUGCUGGGGAUGUGGCUCAGUGGUUGUGUACCCCUGAGCAUUUAAUCCCUGGUACUCCCCCCGCAAUUCCUCACAAUUUUUUUUUUUUUUAAACUUAAAAGCUACAAGAACAAUUCAAAUACAUUUUUUUCCCUGAAGUCUUUAGGGGUAAGACAUGAAUGUUUUAUUCCUGAAUACUUCAGUAUGUAUCCUAAUACAACAAUCAGAAUCAGAAAAUUAAUAUUGAUAAAUUAUUAUAAUCCUCACUGUCCCAUUCAAGUUUACCAGUCAAUGGUCCCAAUGAUGUUCUUAUGGGAAAAGGAUCCAGUUCAGAAUUAUGCAUUGUAUUUUUACUUGUCAUUUUAAUCUUAUUUACUGUGGAAUAGUUCCACAUGUUUACAGUGUGACCCUGAUACUUUUAAAGAAUACAGGUCAGUUAUUUUGUGGAAUGUCCUUCAGUUUAGGAUUGUGUGACAUUUCAUUAUGAUUAGAUACUGGCUAUACGUAUUUGACAGGGAUGUUGAUUUAAUGGCAUCCUAUCAGGUGGCAUGAUUUAAAUUUGUUCCAGUACUGAUGAUGUUGCUUUGUGAUUGUUGAAGAUGCUCUGGGGCUGGGGAUAUAGCUUAGUGGAGUGCUUGCCUCACAUACACAAGGCCGAGGGUUCAAUCCUCAGCACCACCAAAAAAGAUGGUAUUGGUUAGACUUCAUCCUAAUAUUACUGCUUGUCUUGUGUGCUUUAAACAGGUCUCUGUUCUUCUUUGAACAGUUUUACUUUCUGGCUCAACAAAAUAUUCCAGGCUCAUUUGUACUUUCCAGGCUACAAUAAGUAGGGUCUCCAAGGAGUCCUGCCUCCUUUUAGCAGAGAAUGGUAUUUGGAAACUAAGAUUUGGGUACUCAGUUGUACUUGUUUCUGCUAGGGUAUUAUUUCUUCUCGGCUUCUCAGUGGACAGAUAGUAGCAGGGAGAUAUCCAUUCCUUAAACUCCACAUAUAUAUUCCUUAAAUUUCAUAUUUAUUGAGUAUAUAUAUGCUAUAAUUUUUGAAAUGUUAGAAUCAUUGGAAUAAGUCAUCACAUUAAUAGGAGAGAAAUAUAAUCAUUUUAUGUACUCUAAAUAAAUAAUGCUACAGUGAGUGUACACCUGGGGACCAGGGGAUCUGGCUGAGAGUACUAGGAGAGAGGAAGCACCUGGGAUCCAAAUGGUAUGUCUUAAAUAAGAAAGGAUCUCAAUUCUGGGAAAUAUAUUUAGAGAUAACUACUACUUUUCUGAAUAAAGAAAAUCAUUACAGUUCCUAACCAGAACUUUUUUGUAAGCAGAUUUCGAAUAAAGCUACCACUUAUUUAUGAAAAAAUUUAAACCUUACAUUUUCAUCAAAGCCUUGUCUUCUGGCUUCUUCAGCCAAUUCUCCACUGCUUUUGCUAUGAGAAAUACAAAAUAAAAAUCAGAGGCAUACAAAAGUAAAAAGGGAAGUGAUACCGUGAAAUACAUUCUGAUUGAUAGUAAGGAUAUGAAUUGUAUUCUUGUUUUUUAUGAUAAUAAAUCCUAAUUAUUUGGAAAAUGUGAUCAAUAAGAGGUUCACAUCUUUUGCUGUUUUUUUUUUUUCUUUUUUUAAGAAAGUUUACUUUUUUGCCAGAGGUCUGGGUUUGUGAAGCAUUUUGACACACAUCAUGGAAUAAAUGUGUGUAAAAUUAAAAAAUAAAAUUAAGUAUGAGUAUUAUCUGCAAGUGUUGUGUGUAAAAUAUUUUCAUUUUAGAUAGCUAAAUAUGUUUUCUCUCAUUAUAGGACUCUCCCAACUUCCUUUAAAGUUUUUUCUCGGGCUGGGGAGUUCAGUAGUAGAGCAGUUGCCUGUGGUACACAAGGCUGUGGUUCAAUCCCCAGUACCACCCCCCCCCCCAAAGAAGCAAGAAACCUUUAUCUGAGUAGUGCAUUAUAUUCAGUUUGUUUGGUGAUACCAGGCAUCGAACCCAGGGCCUCAUGCAUGCUAGACAAGUACUCUGCCACUGAGCAACAUGCCAGGACUACUACAUUAAUUAUAUUUUAUUUUUUUGUGGUACUGAGAAUUGAGCCCAGGGCAUUUUACCACUGAGUUAUAUCCCUAGUUUUUGUUUUGUUUUGUUCUGUUUUGUUUUUUUUUGAGACAGGGUCUCAGUAAAUUGCUGAGGCUUGCAUUCCCCCGGCCUCAGCCUUCCGAAUCACUGGAUUAUAGUGAGUAUGUGCCACAGCACCUAGUUAUGUUAAUUUUAAAUUAGCUUAAGAGUUUCAUGACAUUCUCAGAAAUUAGGAGGCACUACUGAAUGUAAUGACAAUAUAUUUAGAAUCACUACAUUGGAUGGUGGUAAUUUUGAAAUCAAAACCUUAACUCUCAUUUUUUAAGUUUCUCCUAUAAUACAGAUGGUUUCUGACUUAACCAUGGGUCAAUUUAUUAUUUUUCGACUUUAUGAUGAUGUAAAAGUGAUAUACAUUCAGUAGAAACUUUAAAUUUUGAUCAUUUCUACAGCUGAAAUGCUAAGUCAUCUUACUAUGUUGGGUAGUGGCAGUAAGCUGUAUCUCCCAGUCACAAAGAGAGACAACUGAGUCUAAAGUGUGCUAUGUUGCCAGUGUUUUUUUGGAUCCAGGUAUACAAUAAACACUUAACUAUAAAAACAGCUUUGUGUUAGAUGAUUUUGCCC
rnacentral:lncRNA from 1 species